GAGAUGGUUUCUAGUCCGGCGUCCUUCUUCAUAUUUGAAGAAUCAGUGAACACAGAUUCUUAAGAGUUCUGCUUUUUUUGGAGAAAUUAAACUAUUAAAUGUUCCUGGCUGAAGACCAAUUCUAAUAUUUUAUAAAAUUAAAAAAUCAUAAAUCAAAGGCUAAAUUUCAAGAGGUUUGGCAGUGAGGCAGCCUGGCUGUGUGAGAGAACAGAAACCUCCGCUGGUGAACAGGGAGAGCGGCUCUGGAACACCGGCCACGGAACAGAGCUGGAAC